UAACGCGUGGAUAAUCUGCCUGUAAGACAGGGAUAACGCCGGGAAACCGGUGCUAAUACCGGAUAACCUCUUUGGAUCGCAUGGUCUGAAGAGAAAAGGUGGCCUCUUUACAAUGCUACCACUUACAGAUGAAUCCGCGUCCCAUUAGCCAGUUGGUGGGGUAAUGGCCUACCAAAGCAACGAUGGGUAGCCGGCCUGAGAGGGUGACCGGCCACACUGGAACUGAGAUACGGUCCAGACUCCUACGGGAGGCAGCAGUGGGGAAUCUUCCGCAAUGGGCGAAAGCCUGACGGAGCAACGCCGCGUGAGCGAAGAAGGUCUUCGGAUUGUAAAGCUCUGUGAUAUUGGACGAACAAUUUCCCGUAAAUAAUGGGAAGGAAUGACGGUACAAUAAGAGGAAGCCACGGCUAACUACGUGCCAGCAGCCGCGGUAAUACGUAGGUGGCAAACGUUGUCCGGAAUUACUGGGCGUAAAGGGCGAGUAGGUGGUUUGAUAAGUCUGAGGUGAAAGUUCGGGGCUCAACUCCGGAUUGCCUUAGAAACUGUCAGACUAGAGUGCAGGAGAGGGCAAUGGAAUUCCAUGUGUAGCGGUAAAAUGCGUAGAUAUAUGGAGGAACACCAGUGGCGAAGGCGGUUGCCUGGCCUGUAACUGACGCUGAGGCACGAAAGCGUGGGGAGCAAAUAGGAUUAGAUACCCUAGUAGUCCACGCUGUAAACGAUGAUUACUAAGUGUUGGAGCAAUUCAGUGCUGCAGUUAACGCAAUAAGUAAUCCGCCUGGGGAGUAUGCACGCAAGUGUGAAACUCAAAGGAAUUGACGGGGGCCCGCACAAGCGGUGGAGUAUGUGGUUUAAUUCGAUGAUACGCGAGGAACCUUACCUGGUCUUGACAUGCUGGGAACCCUUAAGCAUUCCCCUUCGGGGGCAGGGGAGACAGGUGGUGCAUGGUUGUCGUCAGCUCGUGUCGUGAGAUGUUGGGUUAAGUCCCGCAACGAGCGCAACCCUUGUCCUUAGUUGCCAUCAUUUAGUUGGGCACUCUAAGGAGACUGCCGGUGUUAAACCGGAGGAAGGUGGGGAUGACGUCAAAUCAUCAUGCCCCUUAUGGCCUGGGCUACAAACGUAAUACAAUGGCGUAUACAAAGGGAUGCGAAAGGGCGACCUGGAGCAAAACUCACAAAGUACGUCUCAGUUCAGAUUGGAGUCUGCAACUCGACUCCAUGAAGGCGGAAUCGCUAGUAAUCGCGGAUCAGCACGCCGCGGUGAAUACGUUCCCGGGCCUUGUACACACCGCCCGUCACACCACGAAAGUCGAUUGUACCUGA
rnacentral:rRNA from 1 species